rnacentral:lncRNA from 1 species
UUCACCAUUGGAGGCUAGGAGACAUCAAGGGACAAGGAAUACUCAUUCACAAAGUGUUCUAACAUCAAGAUUGCUCCAAUUGCUACCGAAAUCGCAACAUUUCUUCAUCAAGUAUGAUCAUGUGUGGUUAAAACCCUUGUGAUCACAACCAAGGGCUAGGGUUUGUAUGCUAUUUAGUUCAAUUUGAGUUGUUUAUCUAUGUUGGACAUGAAUUCAUGGUGUUUGUUAGAGAUCUAUGACAUUUGAUAUAUGAUUGAAGGUUAUGUUAACAUGUUUAUAUUUGAUGGUGAUCAUUUUGUGAUAGCCUAAUUACAUCGGUGUUCAAUCGUUGUAAGCUUAGAUACACAAGUAUAGGUCUUUCAAUACUCAAUUCACAUAUGAUGUCACAAGAUUAUGUCUAUAUAAUCUACCAAACCAGAUUCACAAACUUAAAUUACUAAUUGUGCUUUCAAACUUGAUACUUGGUUGUGCUCAUUGUUACUUUAUUGAACUUACAACUGUAGUUAAUUCUAGUUUCUCAAAUCAAAAUACAAAUCCAAUUUUAAGUUUUUACCAUGUUUUGCAAUCGAUUGAGAUCUUACACCAACCACUAGCUCUUCGUGGUUCGACACCCUAUUUGCCACUACUAAUUUAGGGUACUUAGGAGCAUAUAAUCUUUUUAUCUUUGAUCGGUACUUCGACAUCGAUCAAUUGUGAUUCUUGUUUUAGUGUAAUCUGAAUUCCAAGAGGUAAAUUCUGAAAUAUAGAAGUUAAAACAUGUGUAAAUAUGCCUAAUUGAAGUUGGUUUAGAUGAAAAUUACAAGUCAUGAACUUGGUUAUGAUUAUGUAAAAAUCUGACCCGCUAGGUAUUUGAUAAAACGCCUAAGUGAGGAUUAAAAUGUAAAAAGUUGGGUGAAAACGCAUAUUCGAUUAUUAUAGAGAAUUGUGCAUUAGGGCGUAUGAAAGAGUUCUAAAUUUAUUUUGAAUUGAACUCUUUAGGCAAGGAAUCCGGAUCGUCAAGCGGACACGCCGGAGCGGAUACGCGUUUGAAAGGUGUGCACUAAAGGUACGCGACUUAUAGUUUCGCUACAUUAUGUUUAAUUGUUGGUUUUACGUUGUUAUAUUGAAAUUUGGUAAAUAAGAAAAACCAUUAAGUCACGGAAGUGACAAAGUGCAUUAGACAAGUAAAACGGGUCAAAACAUGAGUUAGAAAUAGAGUUUAGAUGUGUUUAGCAAUGGGGAUACCCAUUCGGCACCCAAACGGGUCAAAACAAGUUGUGUUACAAACAUAGAAACUAAUAGCCAUCACUUUUGACUGGUUAUGUAUCAAGCGUAAGUCGUGUAACGGACACGCAAAUGCGUUUCAAGAUCAUGAGCCCUUGUAGAGGGAUUAUAGUUCGGAACAUUCACUUGUCGAAUGAUUCCGAAAGGCAUGAUUAAAUCCUUGAAAAUAAGCAUGAUGGUUAUUACACAAGCAACCCUCGGGAGGGGAGCAAAAGCUCAUACUUGGUAAAUGUAGAAACGGGUGCAUUGGCCUAAAGUUUAUGUGAUAGUAAUACAUGUUAUGGAACUUGUAAACAAAUGGGUCAAAUAAAUUAGAGACAAAUUAUAAAACAACUGUUUUUGAAAUAAUAUUUUUAUGCAAAACGUGUUGAUAAACGCGUCCGUGAUUAAAUUACGGUCAUGUAGGAAAAAGAAUCGGUUAAAUCGGACUUACGGAUCCAAAGUUAUGACCAUUUGAAGUUGAAUAUAGUGAAAAUCCGGAGCUGGCAGAAAAUGCAGGUCCAGAAACUGGACCUGCUGGAAAACAUGUUCCCCCGCGCCACGCGACAAGGGUAAGUAAAUCUGGCGCGACACGUGGGGCCACCCGCGCCACGCGAGGACCCUUCGCGACACGCGACAGGGUGAAAAGUUGAAUUUUAUUUUAUUUUUGAUGGUUCAAUACUAGAACUCGUUUAUAAGCAUUGUAUAUAUGCCAUAUCUAACUUUUUAAGUGGUUUUGACUCUAGGUACUAAUGGGGUCCUUCCGGAUGGUGAUCAAGCAUGUUACAUGAACCGAACACAAAUUUUAGAUGCUUCCGCGUUAACAUAAUCUUGACUAGACAAUGUUUUGAUGUAAAUGAAUUGUAAUCAAUGUUUUAAACUAGUCGGUAGUUGACUAGUAGAUGUUAUUUAAAACUUUGCAUUUGUACUUAUCAUGAAUAUAUAAUAUGAAAAUUUUU